ensembl:lncRNA
UAGAAGGAAUGAUCCCACCUAAGGCAGCAUGAAUUGCAGUGAGUGGAGAAUUUUUGCAAUUUUACACUGAAAUAUUUUAGCACAUGAAAAAAGCAGUUAUUUUUUAAUUCAUGUCAAAUCUCCUGAACCAGUUUAGAGGAGACUGUUAGCUUGAGCUUGUGAAAAGCCAAAUUUUGAGAUGCCACUGUGUUAGUGAGCUACAGAAGCCAUCUUCAAAAGAGCAGCUUUUUGGAGAAGAGGAAUCUAUGGGGGAUGAAGACAGAAUUACUUCACAGAAUCAGUUGUGUCAGUAAGAUGACUCCAGUGUUUCUCCUUCAUCUUUACUCUAAUUCCGUUAUGCAACAUAUAUUUUUGGAGACUUUUUUUCUUUCUUUCAUUAUAGAUAAUGUUCCUAUGUUAUUCCCAAAGACCAGUAAUGUCUCUGAUAUUUUCAUCUGCUUUUAUAUUUGAUUCAGUUAUUCUUAAAGGACAGCAGAAAGAAAAAACAAGCUGAUAUAAGAUGAAUUCAACACAACAUGCACUUCACUCUAGUUAAAAUCUUUUUCUUCUUGAUUUUUCUUCCACCUUGGUUUUAGCACCAAAAUGAAUGUUCAGUACAAUUAAAUAAUUUCUUUAAAGGUAGUUGGUAGUUCGAGAAAGUAUUGCUUUCCUUUUUGAAAAGAAGAGAUGCAGUAAAUUAAUCUUUGAUUAAAGUUGCAAGAGCCUCAAUUCUGAAACACAUUGGAGCUAAUAAUGACAAAGAAUGACUGAAAACAUGGAACACUAAUUAUCUCUUUGCAGUUUAUCACAUAUUAAAGUGCAUGUCUGUCUACGCUUCUAAGGCAUACCUGUUAUGAUCCAUCAAUCUGGUAAGCUUGAAUAUUAAAGUUUUAUUUGAAGUAUAUAUAUUGUAAAAUAGCUUUAAGCAGUGCAGUGGUCACAGUUUUAAAGGAAAAAGGAAAAAAAAAGAAAAAAAAAAGAUAACCAUCUUGGAAGGCAUCUUCUGAAUGUGUUUUCAGAGCAGUAUUUAUACUCCUGUUACAGAGAUUUAUUUUAUUUUUUUUCCUUUCAAACAGGCCACUUUAAUUCCGUAGGAGGGGAAAAAUAAUAAUAAUAAUAGGAUUGUAUGCUGUUAACUUUGUCUGUAAAGUAUAGAUGAGUUUCAGUUCGUUCACCCAGUUCAAUUUUCUUCACCAAUUUAUUUUCUGCUAGAUUAGUAAAAAUGUUAGAACACUAAAGCUAUAAAUAUAAAAAAAGAGAUUUUACACCAACUGAACACUUCAGUAUUCUAAUGUUUUCCUGGUGAACAUAUUUGAAUUGGAAAUAAACAGCUUCUGAAAUAGACUACUUCCUUUUUAUUUUAUUUUAUUUUUUACUGUGAAUUAAAAAGAGAGAGGGAGAGAUCUACAUAUUAGCAUUUUAUCUUACGGGGAAAAAAAAUGAAGUUAUAUGUCAUAUGAAAAUAUAUGAAUUUUCCCAAAAUUUUCCCUCUGAAAAUUUAAAACCUACUUCUAUGUAAAACUUUUCUCUAGGGAGGAUUUUUAACACUUUGAAAUUUAUUGAUUAGUGGCAGGGAGGAAAAAAGGGCUACAGGAGCCCCUCUUGUGCUGGAUGCGCCCGGCUCUCAACUGUUCACGAGUUGAGCCUCAGGCUGAAAAAAGAAGUAAUUUUUUUCACUUCCCAUACAAACAGAUCUAAAAGGAAGAACUCAGUCAACAAAGCCCUUGAGUUGGUUUGUUUCUGAGCAUGUACAGACUGUAGGAAAUAGUCUGCUAUCAGCAUUUACCCUUUGGAUACAGAAGCCAUCAUAUUCAAGAAUAUUUUGCUGCAUAGUCCCUGUACUUUAGGUAUUUUUUCCUUCUCAAUUUUCUCCAUGAUCGACUUGGAGUAACACAGUGGAAAAUUCAUGUUAAUUCAUCCUAGAUUAUUAUUCUCUCCUGUCUCAACCUGAUGAAAGAGACGACAAUUUCUCUUUCUGAGCACAUUUUCCUUGGUUGAAAGUGGGGAAGUCUGCUAUCUAACUAAAGUCCUGUGGGAUAUAGGAAAGCUGUAACGUGACCAAGGACUAUGAGCAAUGUUGGUAUAUUACCUUUUAGUUUAUGAAUAAA